AAUGAACGCUGGCGGCGCGCCUAAUACAUGCAAGUCGAGCGAGAAGACGUAGCAAUACGUUUGUAAAGCGGCGAACGGGUGAGGAAUACAUGGGUAACCUACCCUCGAGUGGGGAAUAACUAGCCGAAAGGUUAGCUAAUACCGCGUACGCUUCUUGGACUUCGGUUCAGGGAGGAAAGCGAUACCGUGGGUAUCGCGCUCUUGGAUGGGCUCAUGUCCUAUCAGCUUGUUGGUGAGGUAACGGCUCACCAAGGCUUCGACGGGUAGCUGGUCUGAGAGGACGAUCAGCCACACUGGCACUGCGACACGGGCCAGACUCC
rnacentral:rRNA from 1 species